CACGUAGGGGCGAGCGUUGUCCGGAAUCAUUGGGCGUAAAGAGCUCGUAGGCGGCUCGGUAAGUCGGGUGUGAAACCCCCAGGCUCAACCUGGGGACGCCACCCGAUACUGCUGUGGCUAGAGUCCAGUAGGGGAGUGUGGAAUUCCCGGUGUAGCGGUGAAAUGCGCAGAUAUCGGGAGGAACACCAGCGGCGAAGGCGGCACUCUGGGCUGGAACUGACGCUGAGGAGCGAAAGCGUGGGUAGCAAACAGG
rnacentral:rRNA from 1 species